UACGUAGGGGGCUAGCGUUGUCCGGAAUCAUUGGGCGUAAAGAGUCCGUAGGCGGCGCAGAAAGUAGGGUGUGAAAGCCCUCGGCUUAACCGAGGAAUUGCGCUCUAAACUACUGUGCUUGAGGAACCUAGAGGUGAGCGGAACUGAUGGUGGAGCGGUGAAAUGCGUUGAUAUCAUCAGGAACACCGGAGGCGAAGGCGGCUCACUGGGGGUUAUCUGACGCUGAGGGACGAAAGCCAGGGGAGCGAACGGG
rnacentral:rRNA from 1 species